GACGAACGCGGCGGCGUGCUUAACACAUGCAAGUCGAACGAAAAGAGGGAAAGAGCUUGCUCUUUCCGGAAUUGAGUGGCAAACGGGUGAGUAACACGUAAACAACCUGCCUUCAGGAUGGGGACAACAGACGGAAACGACUGCUAAUACCGAAUAAGUUCCAAGGGCCGCAUGGCCCAUGGAAGAAAAGGUGGCCUCUACCUGUAAGCUAUCGCCUGAAGAGGGGUUUGCGUCUGAUUAGCUGGUUGGAGGGGUAACGGCCCACCAAGGCGACGAUCAGUAGCCGGUCUGAGAGGAUGAACGGCCACACUGGAACUGAGACACGGUCCAGACUCCUACGGGAGGCAGCAGUGGGGAAUCUUCCGCAAUGGGCGAAAGCCUGACGGAGCAACGCCGCGUGAGUGAUGACGGCCUUCGGGUUGUAAAACUCUGUGAUCCGGGACGAAAAGGCAGAGUGCGAAGAACAAACUGCA
rnacentral:rRNA from 1 species